rnacentral:hammerhead_ribozyme from 1 species
CUCCAGCUGACAGGUCCGAAAUAGGACGAAACGCACUUCCUGUAU